rnacentral:rRNA from 1 species
UACGUAGGGGGCAAGCGUUGUCCGGAAUCAUUGGGCGUAAAGAGCGUGUAGGCGGCUUGGUAAGUCCGCUGUGAAAGUCCAGGGCUCAACCCUGGAAAGCCGGUGGAAACUGUCAAGCUUGAGUCCGGAAGAGGCGAGUGGAAUUCCUGGGGUAGCGGUGAAAUGCGCAGAUAUCAGGAGGAACACCAAUGGCGAAGGCAGCACUCUGGGACGUGACUGACGCUGAGACGCGAAAGCGUGGGGAGCAAACAGG